rnacentral:rRNA from 1 species
CCUACGGGUGGCAGCAGUGAGGAAUAUUGGUCAAUGGACGAGAGUCUGUACCAGCCAAGUAGCGUGAAGGAUGACUGCCCUAUGGGUUGUAAACUUCUUUUAUAUGGGAAUAAAACAGGGUAUGCAUACCCUCUUGUAUGUACCAUAUGAAUAAGGAUCGGCUAACUCCGUGCCAGCAGCCGCGGUAAUACGGAGGAUGCGAGCGUUAUCCGGAUUUAUUGGGUUUAAAGGGUGCGUAGGCGGACGCUUAAGUCAGCGGUAAAAUUGCGGGGCUCAACCUCGUCGAGCCGUUGAAACUGGGUGCCUUGAGUGGGCGAGAAGUACGCGGAAUGCGUGGUGUAGCGGUGAAAUGCAUAGAUAUCACGCAGAACUCCGAUUGCGAAGGCAGCGUACCGGCGCCCAACUGACGCUGAAGCACGAAGGCGUGGGUAUCGAACAGGAUUAGAUACCCGGGUAGUC